rnacentral:rRNA from 1 species
AUUGAACGCUGGCGGCAGGCCUAACACAUGCAAGUCGAGCGAGCGGCGGACGGGUGAGUACUGUAUGGGGAUCUGCCCGAUAGAGGGGGAUAACUACUGGAAACGGUGGCUAAUACCGCCUACUAUCGGAUGAACCCAUAUGGGAUUAGGUAGUUGGUGAGGUAAAGGCUCACCAACCUACGAUCUCUAGCUGGUCUGAGAGGAUGACAAGCCACACUGGGACUGAGACACGGCCCAGACUCCUACGGGAGGCAGCAGUGGGGAAUAUUGCGCAAUGGGGGCAACCCGGACGCAGCCAUGCCGCGUGAAUGAAGAAGGCCUUCGGGUUGUAAAGUUCUUUCGGUAGCGAGGCGUUAACUACAGAAGAAGCACCGGCUAACUCCGUGCCAGCAGCCGCGGUAAUUC